AUAAAAGCCUAUUUUGUAGCCGCUAACUCCUCAUCAUUGAUUUUGUCCUUAAUUAAGCUCACCUUCCUGACCCAGCUGAAUCCCGUUCCCAUCUCCCACAUGUCCUGAUGCAUAUGAACACCAAGUUCGCGUUUCCCUCACCACGUCGGAUCCCUCCGCUAGGAACAAGGCCUUUUCCGACGUGGCUGUGAGAUCCACCGUUCCACGGUCUGCUUCGGUGACUGCGCCCACCAUUAUCCAUGAUGACGCAUGAGCAAGCUCGCAAUCCCCCUUGGCGUCCUGCUCAUCCCACCAGGUUCUGCUCUCGUGACUUGAAGUCUACGUACCAUGCCGUUUGGGAAGGAAUCAAUCUGGAUAUGUAUUGAGUCCUUCCAUGAUCUCAUCUAGAUACAGUGUAGUUGACUCCUAACAAUGUCUAUUGUUUUUCACAUUUUUGUGGUAUUGUGUGCACACCCUUUUUCGGGGGGUCGAUUUUGUUAUGUCCUGCGUGUAGUUCAUCACCAAAAAAGAGAUGAGUAUCUGUGAAUUUUGUAUCACAUGCCACAAAGAUGGCGCUUCCAAAAAUCCAUGCUUCUUAUGCAUCAUUGGGGCGCUUCUUCACUACAUAGAGUUUGCACCAUUCUAGCCAUGCUUCUAUUUUUCUAUACAUAGAGUUUGCGCCAUUGUAUUAUCUUGAAAUAGCAUGAAAUUGAUGCUUCUUCCAAACAUCACUGUUGCAUGUUAGGCUGCCAUUACAGGUUGGAGAAUCAAUUACCAGAGCGAACGAUGGUAAUGUGACUGGUAUGAGUGGCAGUGGUGAUGGCAAGAACGUCAACGGGGAGCGCGAACAUGUAAAUAUUAUCAUGCCGCCGUAUUGGCUUCUUAUUUGGCAUCGUUGCAUCUAUGGUGCUCCUAAUCGAUGGGUGCCUUUGUUCAGGUCGGCAUCAUCUCUCAUGCUUCUUGCCCUCGACGCCUCUGGUUCCUCGACGUCACUGGCUCUACAUAGUGGGAAUGAUGUGCUUUAUUGUCACAGUUGCAAUGUUUCAGAUUCUUUGUAUUAAGUUUCAUACUAUAUGUGUGUAUGCUUCCUUCAAUUUUGUAUCAGAUAUGUGCUUCGGUAUCAUAUGUGGCAUGUUUUC
rnacentral:lncRNA from 1 species